rnacentral:rRNA from 1 species
GACGGAGAAUGCAAGUGUUAUCCGGAAUCACUGGGCGUAAAGCGUCUGUAGGUUGUUCAAAAAGUCCGCUGUGAAAACUCGAGGCUCAACUUCGAGCUGUCGGUGGAAACUUUCUGGCUAGAGUCCGGAAGAGGAGAAUGGAAUUCCUGGUGUAGCGGUGAAAUGCGCAGAUAUCAGGAAGAACACCCGUGGCGAAGGCGGUUCUCUGGGACGGUACUGACGCUGAGACGCGAAAGCGUGGGGAGCAAACAGG